rnacentral:sRNA from 1 species
GCUGUAGAAGAGGGGAGGAAACAAGCCAGUGCAAGGGGAGCAAAAGAGAAAAGGAGCCAGGCUGGGCUUCCUGAUCCCACAGCAUCGCAGAGCUCGGGAGGCACAGCUCACAGACACAGGAAACACAGGACUGCUAUUCUGCUCUCCUGCCCACGGUGAUCUGGUGCCAGCUGGUGAACGGUGGGUGAUGGCAUCCCUGCUGCAAGACCAGCUGACCACUGAUCAGGACUUGCUGCUGAUGCAGGAAGGCAUGCCGAUGCGGAAGUCUCAAUCUCUGAUGUGGACACAAUACGUAAUGGCCAUGAUUCCGAGUUGCUGCGUAGCCUGGCAGAGGAGCUCCCCCUGGAGCAGGGCUUCACCGUUGUCUUCCAUGGCCGCCGCUCCAACCUGGACCUGGUGGCCAACAGUGUUGAGGAGGCCCAGAUGUGGAUGCGAGGGCUCCAGCUGUUGGUGGAUCUUGUCACCAGCAUGGACCAUCAGGAGCGCCUGGACCAGUAUCGGCAGGAUGGAGUCAGGGUGGGGGUGAGGGAUCACUCUGUCCCUGAAGGAGCCAGAUACAACAGGUUUAGGAAAGGCAGCAGACACGUCCCAGUCUGGAACCCUGGAAGGAGAAGAAUUCGUACAGUUCUAUAAGGCAUUGACUAAACGUGCUGAGGUGCAGGAACUAUUUGAAAGUUUUUCAGCUGAUGGGCAGAAGCUGACUCUGCUGGAAUUUUUGGAUUUCCUCCGAGAGGAGCAGAAGGAGAGAGACUGCACCUCUGAGCUUGCUCUGGAACUCAUUGACCACUAUGAACCUUCAGACAGUGGCAAACUGCGGCAUGUGCUGAGCAUGGAUGGCUUCCUCAGCUACCUCUGCUCUAAGGAUGGAGACAUCUUCAACCCAGCCUGCCUCCCCAUCUAUCAGGAUAUGACUCAACCCCUGAACCACUACUUCAUCUGCUCUUCUCAUAACACCUACCUAGUGGGGGACCAGCUUUGUGGCCAGAGCAGCGUCGAGGGAUAUAUACGGGCCCUGAAGCGGGGGUGCCGCUGCGUGGAGGUGGAUGUAUGGGAUGGACCUAGUGGGGAACCUGUCGUUUACCAUGGACACACCCUGACCUCCCGCAUCCUGUUCAAAGAUGUCGUGGCCACAGUAGCACAGUAUGCCUUCCAGACGUCAGACUACCCAGUCAUCUUGUCCCUGGAGACCCACUGCAGCUGGGAGCAGCAGCAGACCAUGGCCCGCCAUCUGACUGAGAUCCUGGGGGAGCAGCUGCUGAGCACCACCUUGGAUGGGGUGCUGCCCACUCAGCUGCCCUCACCUGAGGAGCUUCGGAGGAGGAUCCUGGUGAAGGGGAAGAAGUUAACACUUGAGGAAGACCUGGAAUAUGAGGAAGAGGAAGCAGAGCCUGAGUUGGAGGAGUCAGAAUUGGCAUUGGAGUCCCAGUUUGAGACUGAGCCUGAGCCCCAGGAGCAGAACCUUCAGAGUAAGGACAAAAAGAAGAAAUCCAAGCCCAUCUUGUGUCCAGCCCUCUCUUCCCUGGUUAUCUACUUGAAGUCUGUCUCAUUCCGCAGCUUCACACAUUCAAAGGAGCACUACCACUUCUACGAGAUAUCAUCUUUCUCUGAAACCAAGGCCAAGCGCCUCAUCAAGGAGGCUGGUCAGGACCAAAAUGGAGGGAUGGGGAGGGAAGUGGGAUGGAUAGGUUCAGGCCUGAUGGACUGGCAGGUAAGUCCCAAGAAAAAAGACAAGGUAGCUAAGGAGAGAUGAAGGAGUUCAGAAACUCCUCAGAGCAGGCAAGGGCAGAGGAGUUAUGAAUAGUGGCUCAAGGGUCUAGGGGCAGGAAAGCUAGGGAAGAUGGUCUGGAUGGACAGAGUAGAGAGGCACAGUGAAACUUUCUGGAGCCAGCUUCAGAUGCUGGAGAGAAGGGUGAAGAGUAGGCAGGGUCCUUGGGACUAGGGAAGUGGGAGAUUCCACCCCACUUCCAUCUCCCUCUCUAUACCCUUUUACAGGCAAUGAGUUUGUGCAGCACAAUACUUGGCAGUUAAGCCGUGUGUAUCCCAGCGGCCUGAGGACAGACUCUUCCAACUACAACCCCCAGGAACUCUGGAAUGCAGGCUGCCAGAUGGUGGCCAUGAAUAUGCAGACUGCAGGGCUUGAAAUGGACAUCUGUGAUGGGCAUUUCCGCCAGAAUGGUGGCUGUGGCUAUGUGCUGAAGCCAGACUUCCUGCGUGAUAUCCAGAGUUCCUUCCACCCUGAGAGGCCCAUCAGCCCUUUCAAAGCCCAGACUCUCUUAAUCCAGGUGAUCAGCGGUCAGCAACUCCCCAAAGUGGACAAGACCAAAGAGGGGUCCAUUGUGGAUCCACUGGUGAAAGUGCAGAUCUUUGGUGUCCGUCUAGACACAGCACGGCAGGAGACCAACUAUGUGGAGAACAAUGGUUUUAAUCCAUACUGGGGGGAGACACUAUGUUUCCGGGUGCUGGUGCCUGAACUUGCCAUGCUGCGUUUUGUGGUAAUGGAUUAUGACUGGAAAUCCCGAAAUGACUUUAUUGGUCAGUACACCCUGCCUUGGACCUGCAUGCAACAAGGUGAGCCAGCCCCUUUGACCCCUGGCCAAUACCCCAGCUCUGGCUGCCUUCCUAAUGCUGUCCUCCUGCCCCUUCCAGGUUACCGCCACAUUCACCUGCUGUCCAAAGAUGGCAUCAGCCUCCGCCCAGCUUCCAUUUUUGUGUAUAUCUGCAUCCAGGAAGACCUGGAGGGGGAUGAGUCCUGAGGUGGGCAUUUCACGGGGAGGGUUGGUGUGCUGGCUUUAGAUGGUGAGAAACAUCUGGAAGGAUGCUCUAGAGAACAAAUGGAGGUGGUGAAAACCAAGCUUUGGAUUGUGCAUUCCCAGGCACAAAGUUACCUCAUUCUUCCUAACAAGCAAAUCUGGGACCUGAUUUUCCACCUUUUUUCUCUUUUCUUCCCUUCCCUUGUUUUCAUAAGCCUUUGGUAUCUUUCCUGCUCUUUUCCUUUGUGUACUCUAUACUGGAGUUCCCUUCUUCCUCUUGCUGUAGGCUCAAUCCCAUACCGACAUCUACAACUAAUCUUUCCCAUCAACUCUGUGUGAAGGCAGGUUGCAACUAGAAAUUCAGAGGGGCCUGGAACAGAGAAACCUAAAGAAGAAUCAUCCCCUCCACCCCCAACUUCCUCAAAGCCCAAAGCCAAGGGAAGGAUAAAUCAAGGUUCAAGGCUUCCCCGGCAAAGAUUAGGGAAAGAGACUUGACCCCAGGACUGUACUACGACUCUCAAGAGAACACUGCACAGCACUCAAAGUCCCCCACUGGACUGCUUCCUCCUUAGCCCCACUGGUAUAAAUACAUCUCUCUCC